rnacentral:scRNA from 1 species
GAGCCUGUAUUAAAUUGUCUCGGUUACCUCUCUUCAAUUAGGCAAUGCUGGGGGCGCGGGGGGCGCAAAAAGGCAGCUCCUAUACACCCAAGUCCCCAAUCUGUGUUCCCUGAUGAGCCCAGGAAAGAUGCCAUAGUUGUGAUUCAACAGCUUAGUCACAAAGGAAUCUGUUGAGAAUGUUAUUAUCUGUGGCUAUGAUGUGACGUUUCAAGCUAAGAUC